AGGACAACGCCCAUACCAGGUAUCUUCCGGGCCCGCAUCGCUGCUUCACCUGAUGCGCAUCUACCAACCCACCGGCUUAGACGCGACUUGCUUUUGAGCAUACACACGGUCUUCUACGAUUUUCCUUGGUUACUAACCUCUUCCAUCCACCUCGGCGAGCUUCCGUUUUCCUCCUUCAGACUUCGAGUACUCCUAAGAGCAAGAUUCUUUCAUCCCGCAGUAUAAACCUUCCAAGCAGUUUCCCGGUUGAUCUCCGCCAAAGACACCUGCCCGACUCUGAGCCAUUCCUUGUCUCCUAGAGCAAACGCGGUUAUGACUGCUCAGAGUUAGUCGGAGCUUUUCGAAGCGAAGAUUAGGGUGUCGGAGUUCAUCCGGAACUUAACCCUAAGUGUUCCAUCGACAUAUGCAGCGCUGCAAAUUGUGUUUCUAUUUCGCCUUUCGAGUCUAUCAGGCCGACGUUUGGCACGGGGGACGUUCAAAAUCAGCUCACGCAGAUUGAGGGAGAGAGGCUCAUACGUCAACAGCGCAGGGAUCAUGACGUACAGCUAUUGGUAUUAUCACAUACGAGUACAGCGGGUGGUGCCAUGAGGUUGACGCCCAGCUAGCAUACAAACGGGACAGGAAUAGACUCAUCAUCGGUUGUGAGUGGGGGUUAUGAAAGGCGUAUCCACCUGGAUGCUAUGCUCGACUGAAAACCUCACCCGACUGCGACAUCAGAGCUUCCAGAGAAAGGCUCUCCAUGCAAAGGCUUUCGUCGGUACCGGCCGUUGGUUUCGGAUGUCUUCAAGGGCAGCGAACGGGGUCGUAGCGAACCUUACGAUUGGAAAUUCAAAAACACACGAAUGGAAGUUUUCAUGUCUCAGUCGGAAAGAUUUGUCGGUGUACGUCGAGAGAUGCCCUGGUGUAAUCUUCGUUCACAAUUGAGCGAUGACGCGAGAGUUCUUGUUCAAUACUUGCUACGCUGCAAGCUCCGGAUAUGUGAUGAUGCUUUCUACCACGGCCUUGCGUUUUCGUAUGAGUUGUCCUCUCCAACCCUGCUUCCUUCCGGCGCCGAGUUGUUCCUGCUUUUCUUGAACUGGCGUUCAUCUUCGAAGGACUCGACUCGUGAGAGUUGGCACAGCAGCGCACCUUGCAUGUCGAUAGGCCCAACCAGCCACUUCUGCGGAAGGGAGGGAGGCCGCCCUUGACCGAAAAACCGGAUGUCGUCAGAUAUCCUCAUCCUUCGGAGAAAGACGGUUUUUGCGGAUGUCGUUUGUCCGUUUGUCCACUUUUGGCAAGAAACAAAGUCUAGUCCCUGACGGUUCUGCUAUCACACACGAUCUGCUUGAGAACCCGUGUCUGUUUAAGGAUUUUGGGGGCUCGUCGAACGAUGGAGGUGAGGAUACGUCAGCCGAGUGUAGAGUCUAUGGGAACAACAUGGCCAAAGCAAGUCAAUGCCUGGUGAGAGACCUGGAAGUCGCUCUGACUAUGUACUGGUGGAGUUGAGAUGCGCUAAUUGAGAGGUUUGUUCCGGUUUAUCUCUGGGCUUGAGCAGCGAGAAUUGCUUCCACUACGUGCAAACUGUACCUAUGCGUGUGGUUCCUGGCUUUAUCCAACCUCUUGCUAUGACUGUGUCCUGCCCUUCUACGGCCUGCUCCCGUUUCGACACGGCCGGGACCUUCCCAUUGGAACCGUCAAAGCUCCGUGCUUGUCUGGCCGUGCUUGAUGGGAGAUCUGUGUCUUGGGUUAGACUUGGAAUUUGGCUUAGGGGAGAUGGACCACGAUCUUUCGUCAAAUUGUGGUACACCACGGGAUUCUUACUGCUCGGGUCACUGAGUAAGACUUGCACAAGCGAUGCGGGUGCGGGUGCCUUAUGGGCGUUCGAGUUGUAGUCACCACGACUGCAACUCAUUUCUUAUAGCAG
rnacentral:telomerase_RNA from 1 species